AGGAGUUUCACCAUGCUGACCAGGCUGGUUUCGAACUCCUGACCUCAAGUGAUCCGCCCGCCUGGGCCUCCCAGAGUGCUGAGAUUACAGGCGUGAGCCACCGCACCUGGCCAAAAAAAGGCAUUUUGAUUUAGGUUGCUGUGUUUGCUUGUUGAUAAAGAAAACUCAAUCGGGACACUAGUUUUGUGCUCAGCUUUAGGCCGGGUAGCUAAUGGGAGGAUGUCCAGCCUGUCACUGUGCUCCCAGCGCAAGGAAAUGGGUGCCCACCUGGAAUCAGGAGAAGAGGCUUUUCCCUCCUGUUCUGCAACCAGGGUGGAGCUAUCUUUCCAGGGAAGCCAGCUGAGAGGUUUUAGGGCUUUGGUUAUUUUAUGGGGGUUUUAAACCUCCUAACUUUUCAAUGACAAAUGGCUCCCAGGUGCCAUAGUCUCUGUUAAAUCCUCAAACAUUCACAAGCACACACUGCCAGGGGCACGGGUUGUCUUUCACCUGCAUGUUUCUAAGGCUCUUUAUUCAAUCUCACGGUGUCAGUGUCCAGUUGUCAAAGUUAUGAAUCUUCCUCCUGCUUCUAAACAGGGCUGACAGUAUACUCUCGUCUAGUCUAGGAACAUGUCUGCUGCUGGGAUACCCUGGUACCAGGAUUUGAGGGCCACGGGUGGCAUCUCUGAGAGCUGAAAAUCCACAGAGUGCCUGUGGGAAAGCCAAGCCCUUGGCUGUGUGGCUUUUCUAUCCCUUGGAUUUACAGGUCUGGGAAUUGGCUGCUUCUUAGUUAUAACCCCAGUGACAAAUGCUGGCUUAAGCCACACCUGUUCCCACUGUUGCUAGAAUUCAAACAGUUGCUUUUUUUUUUUCUUUUUGAGAAAGGGCCUCACUCUGUUGCCCAGGCUGGAGUGCAGUGGCUUGAUCACAGCUCACGAAAGCCUCAAACUCCUAGGCUCAAGUGAUCCUCCUGAAAAGUAGGUAGGACUACAGGCACAUGCCACCACAUACAGCUAAUUUGUUUUCAUUUUUUUUUUUUUUAGAGACAGGAUCUCGCUGUGUUCCCCAGGUAGGUCUUGAACUCCUGGCCUCAAGUGAUCCUCCUGCCUUGACCUCCCAAAGUGCUGGAUUACAAGCGUGAGCCCCUGCACCCGGCCCAAGCAGUUGCUUCUUUUUUUCUCUUUUUUUUUUUUUUUGAGAUGGAGCCUCACUCUGUUGCCCAGGCUGGAGUGCAGUGGCGCGAUCUCCACUCACUGCAAGCUCCGCCUCCCGGGUUCAUGCCAUUCUCCUGCCUCAGCCUCCCGAGUAGCUGGGACUACAGGCGCCUGCCACCACACCCAGCUAAUUUUUUGUAUUUUUGGUACAGACAGGGUUUCACCGUGUUAGCCAGGAUGGUCUUGAUCUCCUGAUCUCGUGAUCCGCCCACCCCGGCCUCCCAAAGUGCUGGAUUACAAGCGUGAGCCACCGCGCCCCGCCAAGCAGUUGCUUCUUAUGCAACAUGUUGGUUGGGACUUGUCCACGGGCCAGGCCAAUAAAAUUCUUAAUCCUGCAGAGAGUCAGUACCCUCAUCACCCCAUCACUGGAAAACAAAUGUUUUAAGCUAUCAAGAGAGGGAAUGUGCAGCUUUUGGUUUCUAGAUGCAUGGUUUGGUGUGAUCUACCUUUGUGCCUAAAGGGAAUGUCCCAAACAACAGAGCCUUCUUUGCUGUCACUCCAGAAUUCUCUACACAGAAUUUCCCAAGUCCAUUCAGGACAGACGCGCAGUCCUCUUUCAAUGGAAGAAGAGAGGACUUUUCCCCUCCUGAAAAAUGACUGGAGUGUGAACAAGGCAGCUCUGUUUUUCUAAAUAAGUUGUUCUUGUGAGUUUUUUCUGGCCACUGGGCAUCUCUGCCCUCACUUUUCAUCCCUGCCCUCUAAGCUGCAGACCCCAUGACCACACUGUCUGCUUCCUUGAGCUUCCCGCACGAGGCUUGGACCUGGGGGACCUGGAGACCCUGCGGACAGAACUGUGGCUGAGCCACUGUGGCCAACUCUUGGGGAGCUCCACAGUGGGGGUUGCUGGUCUGUGAGGCUGAGUCUCCAUUUCAGAGCACACACUCCCUGGCAGGGCGCCUCUGCCUGUGUCUCCUGCCCAGCAGCCGCCAGCAGGGAAUAGUUGCUGGUGUCUGAGCACAAAGAGAGCUUUGAUUACCUAGAGAGGAAAAAGGCUGUCAGCCAGAUGCAGCCAGGCCCAGGGGUAGAUACAGGAGUUGCUAAGGAAGGGGCCGAGCCAGGAGAGGCCAGGCAGAUCCACAAAGCCCAAGGGGAUGCAGGCUGGGUGUGGUUUCUGAGGGAACCUACCAAAUAGCAGGUAGAUGGAAUCAGAGGACUCUUGUGUCCUGAAAGAACCUCCUUAAAAACAACUAAAACGAAGAACUUCUGGGGCUGUUCACACAUUGUUCAAGUCACCCCAAGAUCGUUCUGGCACGCUGAGCUGAACACCACCAUCUUUGUUCAUUCUCUCUCUAAUGGGCAAAGCAGGAUCAUCGAGUUGAAAAGUUGUAAAUAAUGAGGAUAUUUAUCCCGCUAUUUAUUUUUUCAAUAACUGUGACCUCCUGCACUGUGAAUGCUCUGUGACAUGAGAUUCUUAGUUUAAUAAAACUGUCAUUAAAUUUGAAUGAAUUGAUAUUAUUGGUUACUGAACACUGGCAUGAGUUUAUUUUUAUUGUGAAGAAAAAAAUCUACAGCAAUCUAAACUAAACCUUUCUAAGAAAUCUAGCAGUCAGUAUUGUAAUGCAAUAUAUCAAAAUCUGUACACUGUCAAUAAAAUAAAUGAGCACAAGUUGUCUUUCCCUAAAUAGAGCUUCUAUUCACGUUUUAAUAGACACACACAUAUUUGUAUUUUUGAAAGAAUUCUAUACACUGGAAUAACAGC
rnacentral:lncRNA from 10 species